GUUCCCCCUGCUCUAUGGAGGAAAACAUUCCUCGGCCAGUAGCUUUGUCAACAUUGGAAUUUGGUGGAUUUCUUCUUCUCUCUUCUGAUCUUUUCUCCGGCCACCGGACGUACUGAGCCCUGUCGUUCAUCAAUCGUCUUCCUCCAUCCUAACAAUGAUCGGAAUUUACUGACCCAAAAUUCCCUGACCCGUUAAAGAAAAAGUAAGAGAGAAAUGAAGCUCUCUCUCAAUCUCCCAGAUGAUGACAACAAUGGCAAUCCUAUCCUAAAAGCCAAAUUACCCAUUUCAAUAUUCAAUCAGCCUUUCACUUCUAUCUUCACCACUGCUACAAAUUCAUUUUCAGACCUCCAAUUCUCUGUUUCCACCAAUUUUCCUUCAGGUCCUUCUCUCAAACUCUCCUACUCUCCACCCACCACCACCACCACCACCACUCCAUUUUCUCCUAUCUCUGUAUCUCUAAAGUCAGGUUUAGGNNNUUCGCCUUUGUUUUUCUCUCCCCAUUUCUCCCUCUCUACUGCAAACCCCAUUGCCAUUAUCCCGACUUUCUCCCUCCACUUUAAGCCCCAACUUGGCGAUUUCUCUCUUCACAAAAGCACUGCUUCCUCUUCAGACCCUAACCCUGAUUCUGAUUCUGGGACCCACUUGGUGGAUGUAUCCCAUCUGGAUUCUAGCUCAUCUUCAAAUUUGGAGUUUGGAAAUGUAUAUGUCCCAGACCCAGCUGGGUCAAUGGGUUGGCAGGAAGUGAAAUUGGAGCCAUGUACUGGCAAAGAAAAAGUAGGGUUUGCAAACGAUAACCCAAGUGAUAUUGAUGGGGUUUAUGCUCAUAAUGGAGGAAUAGGCUUUUUGCCUGACAGGCAUUUGGUGUCGCUAACCCAAAUGAUAUUGAUGGGGUUUAUGCUCAUAAUAGUGGAAUUGGCUUUUUGCCUGACAGGCAUUUGGUGUCGGGAGAUAGAAAGAAAGGUGGAUUUACGAGCGGAGUUGCUGUCAAGGCAAGGACAGUGGUUCCGUUAAGCAAAAGGUUAAAGGUGAAUUUGAGGUGGGGUGUGAAUUUGCCAGGUGAUAUGGGACUAAAGAUGCCUUAUUUGACUGUCAAUAAGAUUGGGGUGGAGAGGGUUGAGGAGGUGAAGGAAACAAAAGAAAAGAGCAACGAGAAUAAUAAGGGUGAUUUGGAGUUGUUGAAGGGAAUGUGUUUUUGGAUGAGAAGGGAUUUGGAGAUAAUAGAAAAGGAAAAUAGGGACAUGAAGCAGAUUUUGGAGGACAUGAGAUCAGGAGUCUCGACGAGGAAUUUACGACGAGAGAGUACUGGUGUUGGGAAGAAUUUGGUGCCAGCUUCAAGUGAUAGGUUGGGGGAGUUUAGGCAGUGGAAGAGUAAGAAAAGUGAUGAAGCUAUUGGGCAAACAGAAUUGAAGAAGCCUGCAAAUCCGGUUACUGAUUUGGAAAGUGAGUUGCAGAAGGCUAUAAAAGCUGCUGCUUCUUAACAAGGUUGGAAGUAUUUGUUAUGCUUUACUCUCUUACUUGUUUAGGAUCCGUAUAGUACUGAGCUUUCAGUUUAGGUAAAUCAUGCCACCUCUUUAAACACUGAAUAUUCUGAAUAAGUAGGCUGCCAAGUUUGAUUAAAGUAGUAUGGGCCUGCUUGGAAGGUAUUAGCAAUAGAUGUAUGUUUUCUUAUUCAAAUGCUGAAGCAUUUGAGGGAUAUAAUGGAAUUUAUGCACGUAUAAUUGGUUUAAAGAGGUGGCAUGAUUUACCUAAACU
rnacentral:misc_RNA from 1 species